UUGAACACGCGAACACCCCACCCAUUUCCUAUCUAGAAAAAAUUGAAGUAUCACCAAACACUUUCCAGAACUGAUAAGAAACUCAGAAGAUAAGCAACUGUCAUUUUCACAAACUGCACUGCACAAUUACAAGAACCUUAAUGCAAAACAAAACUUCACUUAAUGGUGGAAACAGAGAGAAAAAAAACACAUCUUAAAACAGAACAAGACGUUUUAUUUCUGAGUUUAACGUUGAGGAAAUUGAGUGGAAAUGGGUAGAAACGUGCCAGAAAAAAUAAGUGUCACUACUGUCACAUCGGACAACGUAAUUUUAGAGUAAGUGAAUGAAAAAAAUGCAGAUAAAUACGGUGGCAGCAUCUUUCAUGAUAGACUUCUCUUUCUGAUAAAUCAAAACUGACCUACAUAGGAUUAAACAAGAAGAACA